CUGUACAUAAUUGACAUAAACCAAGCUUCCUAGCAAACACACUUGGUUUCAAUUUCAAAUUUAUGCUUUGAAAUACUAAAUAACCAUACAUAUAUAUAGUUUAUGAACUACAACAUUUCUUAUACAACCAACAAAGUGUAGAAAGAAAAAUACAGAAUUAUUGAAAGGUGAAAACUCAAGUGCAGUCGAUUUUACGUUAAGUUGAUAGCUGAGGGCCAUUAGAUAAUUUGACUGAUUUGACUAAAUUUUCAUCUAACGGCUCUCAACUAUCAACUUUAUGUGAAGUCGAUUGCACAUGAGUUUUCACC